rnacentral:rRNA from 1 species
GAUUAACGCUGGCGGCGUGCAUAACACAUGCAAGUCGAACGAUGAAACUUAACUGAUUUCUUCGGAAUGAUUUUAAGUGGAUUAGUGGCGGACGGGUGAGUAACGCGUGAGUAACCUGCCUUGGAGAAGGGGAUAGCCUUUGGAAACGAAGAAUAAUACCCUAUGAUAUGAUAAUAUCUCAUGAUAUUAUCAUCAAAGAUUUAUCGCUCUAAGAUGGACUUGCGUCUGAUUAGUUAGUUGGUGAGGUAACAGCUCACCAAGGCAGCGAUCAGUAGCCGGCUUGAGAGAGUGUACGGCCACAUUGGGACUGAGACACGGCCCAGACUCCUACGGAAGGCAGCAGUGGGGAAUUUUGCACAAUGAGGGAAACCCUGAUGCAGCGACGCCGCGUGAUUUAGAAGGCCUUCGGGUUGUAAAAAUCUUUUGUAUGGGAAGAAAAUGACAGUACCAUACGAAUAAGGACCGGCUAAUUACGUG